GCUCAGAAAGCUUAUAUCAAGCAUUGGUCUUGUAAACCAAAAGAAGUAAUUGCUUUACUCUAAGCU
rnacentral:tRNA from 1 species